CCGGGCCGGGAUCGGGACGCGGAGCCGCAGCGGGCCCGGGCCGGGAUCGGGACGCGGAGCCGCAGCGGGCCCGGGCCGGGAUCGGGACGCGGAGCCGCAGCGGGCCCGGGCCGGGCGCUCCCGGCAGGACCCGCGGCCGCUGUGCCGGGAGCGCAGGCGCGGAGCGGGAGCGGCAAUGGCGCAGCCCGGGGAGCGGCGGGGCCGGGCCGGGGACAGCGGGGGAGACUGCGGCGGGCUCGGAGAAUCGUCUGGGGCUGACACAAAGACCAGGAACCUUUGAGAUGGAAAGAGCCGGAGCAAGUUGAUGUGAGAAAGGAAAGUUAAAGAUGGGAAACGUUCAGGCAAGAGGUGCCGAAAAGAACCGGAGUUUCUGAUCUGAAGUCUCCAACUGAAAAUCCCCUGUGGAUUGUCACCGGUCCAGUUUUCAUGGACUGCUCACCUUGGCCAGGAGUGUCCAAUCCUGCUGGAAAUGCACUGCACCAGGAUGGCAUUUUCGUUUCGUGCUGGUGAAGACCCUCUGGGUGACCCCCAGGCACUGGAAGGGCUGGCCUGGGCUCCCAGGGCACUAAUUCCAGGAGUUGUGUUUUUGGGAACAGCACAGGAGCCUUUCCCUCACUCAUAGGAGCAGCCAGUGCCUCCUUUCAUCCACAAAUGCCCAGGAUGGAACACAAGGAAAGGAACAGCAAUGUGGAAAUGCCCCACACUGGGAGUUGAUGGUGCUCUGGAUCACAUUUUGGAUUUAUAAUGUCAAAGGGGCAGUGUGGAGGGGUUUUUCUCUCUCUGCUGUUCAUUGCUGUACUCACUGCCCUUGUUGCUCUCACUGUUACUGUGUGUUGCCAUUAACAUUAAAUUAAAUUUGUCUUGGUUUCCAUGAUUAUUAAACUGUUCUGAGCUGGA